rnacentral:sRNA from 2 species
GCUUUCGGGCUGGGUUCCUUGGGGAUUGCCGGGCAUGCCGUAUUUGUGUCUGAGAUUGAUGCAUCGGGAAUACAUACUGCCUCUAAUUGGGAGAGGUCGAUGUUUAACAGCAUAACAAAUCCUUUUUUUUUUGCGCUUUUCUUAGAAAAUCCAAGUGGGAUGUUUUAUUCUCAGAACAAGAUGCUUGGGCUGAGUAUGCAUAUUGUUUUCCUGAUUAGACGAAACGGGAACUUCAUCCAUUGAUACGUAUCGAGAUCGGCACGCGGUAGUGUUUCCUAUAUACUCUGUAUUCACACCUGAGCUGCCGUAUGUAUCAUCCCAUGUCAAUG